AAUGAGGUUAAAAUGUUAGGUUUGGAGAUGAAGAGGCUCUGCCAGAACAGGAGCAUCAGGGACAGAGUAUUUGAAGGGCUGCUCUGAGGGGAAGAAUUUGCCGGGCUUCCCUCUAGCGGGUGGAAUUUCCUACCUAGGUGAAGCAGGUAUAUCAGCAGGUAGGGAACUCAAGUCUUUCCUCCCCCACCCCACCUUACCUGAGAUCCUUGACCUAUCAGACAAAAGCCCAGCUUGGACCCUUCCCUAUUGGACUGCUGAGUCUGCAAGAAUGUGGCUGUGUGUGAGCUGUGUGCACAGAGAAUGAAUGGGUGGGUGUUUCCUCCGAGCUGUGUGGCAGCAUGGUCCCUAAAUGACAGAAACAGCCACAGGAACCUGCUCAGCAUGUCCCCUCCCCCAGAGGGUGCACAAACAGGGCCCUAGCUUCCCUUAGCUCCCCUUUUUGAAUGGUAAAUAUGGGUAAAGUUUAUUGCGAACUUGCUCUGUGCUGGGUGCUGUGCAAAGCCCUUCCUUUGGUUCCGCUGACUAAGCCUGUGGCAGGGCACUUUGUAUUCAUGUCCCCAUUCCCUGGAGAGGAAAUGUAGCACACAAAUUGCCCAGGCCCCAUCUUACCAUCACUGACUGCGUGGGCAACUCCAUGGCCCUGGAAGGCAGGGGCAGUAGGCCGGCCCCACACAGAAGUAGACACAGCUGCUCUCCAUCACCCCUGAGUCAGUCCUAUGUUUGUGGUGUGCUGGGACGGUGCAGGAGACUCAGCUGUUGCUCAGGAAUCACACACAGUCCACGAAAGCCAUGGCCAAGGCCAAAGGCUCAAGGAAAAGCCCACAUUUAAGACACCUGAAGACUGUGGGAGAUCAGACCCCUUCUCAGACCAAGUGUCAGCACCUGCAUCCUGGUCAGUCCGGGAAGACGCUGGAGAGGGAAGAAAGGGCUCAGAGUGUUGUGUGGGUGGCAUGCUCCUUCUGGGCCCCUCCAAAGAAGAGUGCUCAAGGCGGGACACAUGCUCCUCUCCUUGGCCACUGGCUUAUCUGAGAGUGGGAGAGAGGGACUGAAGGAACAGGCCAGCGAGACACAGGCAAAUGUAAGUGGCUGCAAAAGUGGACCCAGCAGAAGUCAUAGGACCAGCCCCACAACAAGUACCUUGGGUAGGAACUAUGAAGACAGAUUCCCAGAACUUUCUUCCCAUCCCCCAAACAAGGUCAUGGUGACCUUCCUCCCUACUCACCUGGGACUUAUUUUAUAGGCCAGCAUUUGGGAGCCUGUGGUCAGCCAGGGUUCACCAAGGAAAGGCUGCGCUGCACUCUCACCUGAGAGCAAGGGUCCCUUGCCAUCUCAGCCAGGCUUCCUCUCACCCAGAGACUCCAAAAGCAGCUAAAACCAGAAGUGGGAAGAACAGGAGUGAAACAGCAAACCAAACUCCACUCAGUGCUGUGCUGAUAAGCAUUUCACCACCAGCAGUCAGGAGGAGGAAGAGGGAAGCCCUGAUUUGUGGUGUCUACUGAUCUCAAGCUGCCCUGGUGACGCCACUGAACGCGGGACUGGAGACACAGGCAGUGGCUCAACACUUUCCCACCCAGAGGCUGUGUAUGCAAGCAGCCUCAAAGAAAGGGUGAGGUCCUAUCAUUGGCUACCACAGGAAUGGAGCUGAAGGAUGUUAUGUUAAGUGCAAUAAGCCAGGCACGGAAAAACAAGUCCCACAUGACCUUACUCAUAUGUGGAACCUAACAAAGCCGAUCUCACAGAAGUUGAGAAUAGAGUGGUGGUUACCAGAGGCUGGGUAGGACGGGGGAGGCAGGCAUGGGGCAAGACUGGUCAAGGGGUACUCAGCUACAGUUACAGGAGAAAUAAGUUCCCUUGUGUUUUAUUACCCAAUAGGGCAACUAUAGAUAAUGUACCACAUAUUUCAAAAAAAGCUAGAAGAAAGGAUUUUGAAUGUUUCCAUCACAAAGAAAUGAUAAAUGUUUGGGUAGAUAGAUGUGCUUUUCCUGAUUUGGACAUUAUUUGAUGUAUACAUAUAUUGAAAUAUCA
rnacentral:lncRNA from 1 species